rnacentral:rRNA from 1 species
GACGAACGCUGGCGGCGCGCCUAACACAUGCAAGUCGAACGGAGCUAUUUCUCUUGAAGUUUUCGGAUGGAAAGAGGCUUAGCUUAGUGGCGAACGGGUGAGUAACACGUGAGCAACCUGCCUUUCAGAGGGGGACAACGUUUGGAAACGAACGCUAAUACCGCAUAAGACCACAGUGCCGCAUGACACAGGGGUCAAAGGAGCAAUCCGCUGAAAGAUGGGCUCGCGUCCGAUUAGAUAGUUGGUGGGGUAACGGCCUACCAAGUCGACGAUCGGUAGCCGGACUGAGAGGUUGAACGGCCACAUUGGGACUGAGACACGGCCCAG